AGGGGUGUGGAAUAAGCUCAUUCGUGUGUUGUUCUAGCAUCGAGCGUUAGCGAGAAAGGAAACGUUGAAACACAGAAAUGAGAGAAUAUCGUUCGCUUAGCUGUUCGCCGUCAACGAUUCGACUGGACGCCGUUACCAUCGUCUACUCGCGUGUGUAAUCAGUGCGAGCAACGGAAAACUCAGAGCCAAGCACGGAGUCACCCGCGAUAACACCGUAAGUGGUCGUUUUACAUCGACGAGGGAAGAUAGUACGAGAAUCCAUAUUUCCGUGGAAAUAAAUUAUAACGCGGGGGUUCGUAAACGAGCGAACAGCUGACACCGCGAGCUGCUAAUCGCACGAACGCGACUUGAAAACGUCGUGAACAGCCGGUCAGCUGAGAAAACGGCUCUCGUGGGUGUGGAACAAUCCGGUCUAGGGCGAUUGAUUGUGUGGGUGUCGCGGUCGCUGCAGAGACGUCGAAGAGCGCCAUCGUCGUCUCGGCCGCCACGUGAAUCGCAAACACUGAGAAGAAUACUUGUAGCGUUGAAUAUCGUCUGGAAGCGAGGCAUACGUGGCACGGAUUUCCUCGUAUGAUCGAGGCUACGCGUGUAUUCUACCGCUCGCAUUAACGCGUUUCUUGUGUCGAUUCAUUUUCCAAGGAUUCGUCUGCUUUCAACUUGUGAAAUUUUGUUGAUCGCACCUCGAUGUUUUUGAAGAAUUUUACGAUUAAUUUUGCUGUGAUACAACACGACGUUACGUUGUUUUAUAGUUGAAGAAGACGAGAAAAUACAUACAUGGAAGAGUGUUUUUCUGUGCACGAUUCGAGGCUGAAGAAGAAAAAUCCCGAGAGCCAGUAGAUAUUAUACCCAGUGACCCGUUUCCGUUCGAAAUCGAUGAAAUUCCGAAAACGUUUGACAGAGGUCAGAAACACGACCACGUAGCCAUUAUUAUCGUAUCGUAUCCGAUUGGUCGCGCGGCCGUCAACGCGACACUUGGCUAGUGCUGAAACGCGGACUGGUCUCGUUUAACCGGUGGCAGAAGCGCUCCACCUGCGCCCGCCGUGUAUAGGAUCGCGUAUUCCCCUGCAAAGUUCAAGAACCUGGGCUUCGUGUGUACGGCAGAAACGAGUGCACCAACGGCACCCGUGACCCGUUUUCGUUUUCAAUCGAUGUACUCGUGAACUGGGCCGCUCGUUCGCUUGAAACCUCGAUACCUCGCGAGGUGUUCGACCAUCAAAACAGAGGGAACAGGGUAAACAAAUCUGCGAACCGUGAAUCAUAGAGUACAAGAUACGAUAGUCGUAUAGACAGAGAUACACGAGGAAGAAGAGUAGAUUAAGAUAAAGAAAAGAAUCGGAGCACUUUAGAGAGAAGCAAAGAGAGCGGGGGAGAGCAGUGCGCACAUUCUAACCUCGCAGCCGCCAUAUCGAGGACGCGAGGAGGAAGCUCGUCGAAGGUCGCUUUCGAGGAACACCUGGGGGACAGCCCUCGUAUCGUUCCAUGCUGGCUUCGAGCGGAGAACUAGGAUCGGGGACGGAAGAGAGAAUGCGAGAACCUCCACACAGCCUGUGAAACAUGAUUUGUCAUACAGAUGCGGUCGUUGGUAAUCGUACGACGAGAGAUAACGACGACGAGGACGCCGACGGAGACGAGGAUCACGGAUCUAUCCAGCGUCGCGUCGAUGCCUCGACGAGUCUCGAUGACGCUCGCAUGAGAGCCAGCCUCGAGGCGGACGAUAAGACGCGUACGAACAAGACAGUCCGGUGUCGAGUGGCUUCCACUUGUCCAGUCGAACGUCGGGCGAACUGGUCGUCGUCGACGGGCUUCCAAGCUGCGUACCGAUCGUCACCGAUUGUCAUCGUCUUGUAUGCUGUGACAAACGGCAUAAACAGCAGCGACAGAAACAGCAGCAGCGGGACAAGCAACAGCCAGUGGAAGAUACGAAAGCGAGAGCACGGCAUAAUCUACGCUCGUCGAAGGCGUACCCGUGUUGUCGUGGCCAGCUGCGCCGAUUACCAGGUGUCGGAUGACUCCCCCCGUACGCUACAGCCUUCCCGUAGUCGUAGAAAGGACGCGAUAUCCCGUAGGAACGAGCGUUGUCGCGCGGCGAGCGAUCCUCGUCGCGGUACCUCAUCGGCGGCGUCGUCGGUGCUGCGCCGGCCCGCGCGUCGCGCUAAACUCCUCGCGAUUAGACCUUCCCGUGCACGUUCCUAUCUUACGUCCGUGAUGGCGGCUGUACCUGAUAUGUCGCACCUCACCCCUGAGGAGAGGAGCACCAUCGAGGAGGUUAUAAUAAGGCAGAAGCAGGAGGAGGAAAAGGAAAAUGAGAUUAUGAGACGGAAGCAGGACGAGGUGACGAUCCUCGAGGAAAGGAUACGGGCCUGUUCGGAGAAACACAAGAAGGCGGGAGUGGAGUUGCACGCCACGUGUCACAUAUGCCUGAAAACCAAGUUCGCCGACGGCGUCGGCCACAUCUGCAACUACUGCAGCAUCCGGUGCUGCGCACGCUGCGGCGGAAAGGUCACUCUACGGUCGAACAAGGUAAUAUGGGUGUGCAUUCUCUGUCGCAAGAAGCAAGAAUUGCUGUCGAAGACCGGACAAUGGAUAACGAAGGCGGGCCUAGCAGCCGGGGACAACGCGAUGCUGCGACGGAUGCAGGACAUGCAGGUGGGUGGUCCUCCGGGACUCGUGGACCAAACUCAGGAUAAAAGACCGAAACUCGAGAGAGCGCACAGCGCGGCUGAAAAGGAGAAUUUACCAUUGUUACUAAGGAGCGGAAGUUUGCUCAGAAGACAGUACUCUCAGCAAGAGCAAGGCCCAGGGCGUCGACUGCCAACGAGCGAUAGCGGAGUGGAUAUGUCCGUUUCGCCUCACUCGAGAAGUCUGCCGACGCCCCACGUAGCUUCGCCGCAUCAGAUGCAACAACCGCCAAGGCAUCCGGACGCGUACGCGGAGGAUGACCCGAAUCUGUACAGAGGCGAGAUCGACGGUCUUAUGAAACAACAGAACUACCAGAGACAACGACCGAUCUACCCGGAUCAGAACACGGAUCUCGCGAUGACAUACGGUCAACCAACGGUAGAAGCGGGCCCACCACGAAGCGCUGUGCAUCCUACUCAGCAACACUCGGUGCAUCAAACGCAAAGCGCGCACCCACCGCAACCGAUGGGUGGUCAGGUUGGUCUUCAGCCUCAGAGAAGCUUCAGCAGCAGCGAGGAAGAGCGAAGCACACCCGAGUGUGCUAGCGACGAGCCUGACGAGUCCGAGAAGGGGAAGGGGUACUACCACCAUACGGGAGGUCCGAUAUCAAUGUCCAGCGGUGGACGUAGGCACAACGGACCUCACAACGGGCACCACAACAUGGCCGCGAUGACCAUCGAAUAUAACGGUCAUCAUCCACCGCGAGAGCCGCGAAAAGAGGAGAGCACUCUCGUGAGACGGAGCUUCCGAAGGAGUGGCGACGAGUGGCGCUCCGACAGUAGGAGGUUCACGGAGAGGAGGGGGAAAAAGACAGUGCGAUUUCACGGUGGGACCAAUGUCGGCGGCCCUCAGGAGGAUUGGUCUUGGGAGGCCGAUCGGCAAGGUAGCCAAGACAGCGCGACCAAAGACUCCGGAAUAGACACCUCUAGCACGUUCACGAGCAGUGAGGACAGCAACAGGGGCGACCUGCCCAAGCAUCCGUUAUCCUGGCAAGUGAGCAGAGACGGUCAGAAGAUCAUUGGCCACAUGGUGUUGCGAAAGCAGCCCGGAAGCGGCUCCGCAAGCAGUAGUAGCAUACUGGGGCUGAAAGUGGUCGGCGGCAAAUUGUUGGAGGAUGGCUCUAUGGGCGCCGUCAUCGAGAAGGUCAAGAAGGGUAGCACGGCUGACAUAGAAGGUCAACUGAGACCCGGUGACGAGGUGAUCAAGUGGAACGGCAGGUCCCUCCAGGGCAAAAGCUUCCGUGAAGUUUACGACAUCAUCGCCGAGUCGAGACAGGAGCCUCAAGUGGAGCUGGUAGUUUCGCGGAAUCUAUCGUCGACGACGGGUCCGGUGACGAUGCCUGCGGGGCUGACACCUACAGCGCCGAUGCCGUCAAGGAAGAUCGCCGCGCAGAUCCAAUGGAGACAAAAGCACCCGGAGACGAUAUCCGGGCCACAGCAACCGCAUCACAAAGGUCUUAAGAAAUGUAUUCUAUGGGAGUUAUACGACGCGAGGCGCGAGAAACCUUCGGUUUUAGUGACCUCGCCGGGCUCGCCGGAUCUUCACGCUCAAGGACGCGCCAGGCACCUCCGACACACUUCCGGCAAUGCAAACGUCGGAGGUAAUCUUCAGGUGAAGCUGAGCUUCGAUUCCGUGGCGCUACGGUUGAUCGUCACGUUGAUCUGUGCGGCUGGGCUCACGCCCAGGAGCAACGGCCAACCCAGAAAUCCCUACGCCAAGAUCUUCCUGCUUCCGGACAAGAGCGAAAAGUCGAAGAGACGAACGAAGACGUUGGCGAACACGAACGAUCCAAAGUGGAACCAGACGUUCAUCUACGACGGAAUCAGGAGGCCAGAGCUGAGGAAAAGGGCGUUGGAAGUAACCGUGUGGGACUACGGGAAGUACGACACGAACGAUUUUCUCGGCGAAGCGAUACUGGAACUGGCGACAGCUCAUCUCGACGAGGAGCCCGAGUGGCAUCCGCUGACCGGCCACGGGGAACACCGACAUAUUGGAUACUAUCAGGAGCCCGAUGACAUGGUGAUAACUCCGGUGGACUGCCAUCUCAGUCCACCGUCGACGACGUCGCGGCUGAGCGACUCUGACACUUCCGAAUGCGAUAUCACGGACUGCGACGUCUCCAGGGAGCAAAGGAGAACAGCUGACGGUGCCAGUAUAAGCAGUAUCGGCAGUUCCUCCAGGUUUCAUAAUAUGCCGUCAAAUUAUAAGCGCCACUAUUCUAGUCCCCCGCCGGAAAGGGAGCUGUGCAUCGACGGGGAGCAUCGAAGUCGAAGGGACAUGUCGCCGCAGGGGCGUAAACGGGCCGCCAUCAUGAUACGGGAUCAGCCAGCGUCUAUUUCUGGUUACCAGACCUAUCGCAAGGACGAUAUUCAUCGAGGAAUGAUGGGCCACAGGUCGCAUAGUGCAGCACCUAUGGACUCGCCGAGCCUUCGGUAUCGCGGAAGGUCUCAAAGUCCCACCGGUCAUCGCUCUCUGUCUCCGCCGGAACAUAGAUCCAUGCUUUACUCGCACGGCUACGUUCCACCCAGAUUCAGCUCGAGGUCAGCGACAGCCACUCCCACCGGAAGUCCGAAGAAGAGACAAUUGCCUCUGAUUCCGACGGCUCUGAAGGAAAGGGCUGUUCAGGAUCCCGAGGAACGGGCGAGAUUUAUGAGACACCGCAAUAGGCAGGUGCAUACCACGUACAGGAGUACGGGUACGGGAGGUUGGGAAAAACACUAUAGCGGACUGUCGGAUUCGGAUCUGCUCUCGAUAGAUCAGGAUCCGUUAUCUUUGCCGCACAGUCACCCUUAUCGAAUGCACAGACCGCGAAGGGGAAAUUUAAGUCCUGACAAAGACGUACUUGGUGAUCUUGGUGACUCCGAUAUGGAGAGUAUAGCCUCCGUGACGAGCAGUGCCUUCAGUACGCAAUCGGAACGACCACGUGGCUCUAGAGGACUAAUCGAGUACAGUCAGUCGGGCUCGUACGAGAAGCCGUCCAGGACCCAGCCAGGCGAUAACGAGCACGACGACCAUAAAAGGGGACAGUUCACCAGGAGUCUUAGUAAUACCGACGCGCCACAGGACGAGAAAGUUGACGGUAGUUUGAGCGAUACGGCGAUCGGUUUGAACGUGGAGGACUCCUCGAGGAGGGGUCGCAAGAGUUCGCCCGGCAGUAAAAGCGGAAGCGGAAGUAGCAGCGGUGGCGGAAGCGCGGUGCAGUAUCAGUCAGGUCUCGGGAAGAAGAGUAACAGCACUAGUCAGCUGUCCGCCACAGAGUGCGGUAUCGGCGGGAUCUUCGUCGGAAGCGGUGUCGCGGAGGCACGCGCCGGUUUAUCGAGCCGGAAACGCAACAGCACGCCGAGCAGCAUACAGCGUUCCGAGGAGAUCGUACCCUAUCAACGCUUUGAAUCCGGGAAACAGUCGGGAUCGUUGGCCAGUGACACAGCCGGAAGUCUCAACUCGAUCUCUAGUUCCGAAGGAAGCUCUUGGUCUCCCAGUCUACGAAUGACAGGCGAAACCGGCCAACUGAGAGAUUUCAUCGAAGAUCUUGGGCCUGGCCAAGUGGUCGGAAGGCAGGCACUUGGUGCUCGCUGCCUUGGCGAGAUCCAGCUUUCGCUCACCCAGAAGAAAGGCUACCUUGAAGUGGAGGUCAUACGUGCCAAAGAUCUUAAACCGAAGCAGGGCACUAAAGCUAUUCCAGCUUCCUACGUGAAAGUUUACUUGGUGAACGGAAAGAAGUGUAUCGCGAAAGCGAAAACAAUGGCAGCCAGAAAAACGUUGGACCCGUUCUACCAGCAGUCGUUAGCCUUUAGAGAAAAUUGCCGGGGUUGUAUACUGCAGGUAACAGUGUGGGGUGAUUACGGCCGAUUAGAAGGGAGAAAAGUGUUCAUGGGCAUUGCGCAGAUCGUGUUGGACGAACUGAACCUCAAUGAGAUGGUGUUCGGGUGGUAUAAGCUGUUUGGCAACAUAUCCCUGGUCAGUGGACCUCCAUCCUUAGCUUUAUCCCGUCGAUCCUCGGCCACGUCCUUAGAGUCCUUUAAGAUUUAAAGAACUCUUCCAUCUAGUAUUCUCUUUACGUGUAAUCCGACGGUGGCUCGAGCUUCUUUUAAUUCCCGACGGAAAGAGUAAGAAAAAAGCCAAAAAAAAGAAGGUAUCGAGUCUAUUCUUAAUCGCGUUUGUCCAUAUAACGUAUACAUUUUCUUUUUCAAAGUGAAUCCAUAUAUAAUAGUUGUUUGCAAAUAUUCAAAGAUCGUUUAAAGAAGAAUAAAACGCGUACAUUAUAAGUAAAAUUGACAAAGAUUUUCAUGGAGAUUUCUCGCGAUACAUGUCCGUUCCAUUAUUCCCCAUUGUAAAGAUAUUCGUGUAUUAACGUUCGAAAUUCGAGUACGAUUUAUCGAUAGACCGUCGGCUCUGAAUACGGUAAAAGAAAAGUCAGUUACGAACGAUGUCAAUAACGAGAAGAACUAUAUAAUAUAGAGAGAGAAGAGUUUGCGUGGCUAUAUUGGGCAAGUGAGUUCGUGUUGUUGAACAAAACGAGAAAAGUGUGUUUUAUUUGCAAGGUAACCGCGAGAAUGGGAAAAGUGUGAAAGGUCGUACGAGAGGACAUGUCUUUCUAGAAACACCACUAGCACAUCACAUAUCAUGUACGGCAUAUCAGAUGAGCCACUAGUCUUUAUGUAGACUAGAUGUAGAGAUAGCAGCCAUGUUCCUGGAGCGCCAGAUAGUUUUAGUGAAAGCAACGCAGAGAUACUCGAUACAAGAUCGAUACGAAUUUCAACGUGGUGUGCUAUGAGAAAGGGGUGCCGAACGGUGUUUCGAUGCUCGAUGUUGAAGUGAAACGAAGAACGAGAAAAGCAGUGAAGUGGUGAAAUUUGUUGAAAAUGGUAAACGUCGUAACGAACGGUGAUGUGACGCGAACAUUAUGAAUCAUCGUCACGAACCACUAACGAAAUUUUAAGUAAUAUUACUGUUUCGCGUAUUCGCGAUAGACAUUUCAAAUAAUAUUUGUACAUAAUUUAGGACGCUCCGAGUGUUGACGCCAGUGACGAUUUUCAGAAAUACAACAAAAAAAGACAGUCGCAUUUAAAGAACAAUCAAAUGAACAAAUUAAAAAGCAAAAAGAUAUAUUGAAAGAAGAAAAACAACAGAUAAAUAUACUUGGAACUCGUUGUCAAAGUUUUUAGCCAUCAUCGUCAAGAGAGCGAGAGAGAGGGAGAGAGAGAGAGAGAGAAAGAGAGAGAGAGAGAGAAAGGAAGAGAAAGAGAGAGAGAGAGAGCGUAUAUUAUUUAUUGUAAAUAUUAUAACAAUGAUAUAUAUACAUAUAUAUGAAUUCGCGAUACGUAUGCGCGUAGGUGUUUACAAAAUGAUGAACAAUUGCCUUGACCGUCGCGUUCUCGUUGUCCCGUUACCCUCGCGAUUUCGAGCAUCGCGGCACCACCCGCGCUCCAUAUUGAUUUUUACUACCACGAUCAAGAAAAUAGAGCUCGAGACGAAGAAAACAUUCGUCGAGUCUUGUGUCGCGUUUGAUCCGUCGAAAUCGGCCGCGAAUUCGAAGGCGUCGCGAGGCGAACGGGAACGAGGCCGAGAAAUAUCAUGAAUUAGCGAAUUGUUGUUGAACGUUAAAGUAGCCCAUCUUCAACUAUUUUGCGCGAGAGAGUACGUGUGCGUGUGUGCGUGAGAAAGAAGGAGAGAAGUGAAGUGCUAACUAUAUCGACUGUCGUAUAUUGUGAUUCUGUUAGUUUUUAUUUAAUUGUCGAAAAACCUCACGAAUCGGAUGUUUACGCGUAAGGGGACAGCCGUGUACGAUUUAGAAUCUUUUAUUCUCUUUAUCAACUUGCACUCGACUUUCAACGGAACGCUCGUUUUUUUAACGUGAAUAUUUACUGAACGAACCGCCCACGUAAUUCUUUCAUACAGCGGACACGACGUCCGUGAUAUUCGCAUCUCGUUUUGUCGCGGGACUCGCCGCGGAAACCGUGUACCGCGCGAUACACACUGCUGACGAACCUUUCGGGAAAGGAAGCGUGAAACGACGCUCGACCUCGGGCAACGAACGAGGCGAACGAUCGUGAAACUCACAAUCGAUUUUAUAUCUCUUAAUUCUCAUGUUAUGUGUUCGAUCUUUGUCUGUGCAUUUGUCUGGUCACUUGUGAACACAAUUCGAUGAGCAUGCACGUGUACGUAGAAAAUAUCUAUAGCAUUAAACACUUGAUUAACGAACGUGAUUUUCUUUUCGCUGAUUGUGCUUGCAACAUGUAAAUUCUCUUUACAAGGAAAAAAAGAAAAGAAAGGAAAGAAAAGUGGGAAUAGAGAAAGAAUAACCGGGGAAAAGGACGAGAAAAAUAAUCAUUGAUUACAAAGACAAAUAGGAAAAAGGGGAAUUACUCGAGUCGAAGAUUAGAAAUAACCUGCGAAUUUAACUGCUUCGAACAAGAUACUAAUACGCUCUGCUUUUGGAUUGCACGUAUACAUUCAGUAAGAAAUACAAUUACCUGUGGUCGUCCAUUUUUAUCACAAGAAAUUGAGUUCGUUCCCUUACAUCGCUUCACUUCUCGUUUGUUACUCUUUAAAAGGUACUCUCCUUGGAUAUUGAUCGACGUCACUGAAAUAGAGUCACCGUUUUUCUUUCGGAGAUACCGCAGAAUAGCUACUUUGAUAUCAUGUUGGGGUUUAAAAUUUGCCAACGAAUUAAAUUUUUUUUAGAUACUAAUAUCUCCUUUUCUUUAUGAUGCUCAAAUAGAACAUUUCAGAUAUUAAAAUUAGAAUUUCCAAGUUUUUCUAAGUCAGUGACUUCGACAUCGAUAUCUUGAAAUUGUCUACGCUUAUAAAAUUCGAUGUCACGCUACUGUGCUUUCAAUUCUCUCGCGACGAUUCUCAUUUUCUUCUUGUCAUUGCACUCUGCCAUAUUAUCCACUAUCGCCACGCGAAAAUUCUACAAAAUUCUACAGAGUCCAAAGCAAGAGCAGAACAGUGAAAUGUAAUCACGAUAUAAGGGCUUAGCUUCGAGAAUGAAACAGAGACGAGACGGACGAAAUAGUGAGAAACUCGAUUAUUUUGCGGCGAAUUCUAUAGAUAGGAGGAACCAUCUGGUAACCGGGUAAUCGAUCGACCAUUAUUACGUGGAGAAUGUAUAAAAAAAGAGGCGAUAUCUUAUCAUAUCUAUAACAUGCUUGAAUUAGUGGACAGAACGUGCAGCAUGGGAAUAAAAAAAAGAAGCUUUUUUACUCGUGGAGAUAAAAAAAAAGAUACAAACCAAACGUAGAGCUCUAUCAGACGCGACGGCGUGUAAUGUAAACUAUCAAGUGACGAAACGAAGAAAAAAAUUACUAUUGUAAGACAAUUUCUAAAUAAAACAUUUUGCAAGUGCAUGACUUAUAUUAGUAGGCUCUUGGAACAAUGACUACAUAAUUAAUCACACAGCAAAGUAUAAACUCUGUAUUAGUGGCUAACACUUGAUAAGGGGAAAAAAUAUACAAGACGAAUUAUGUAAUACGUUCAGUUUGUAAUCCGCUGGUUACUUGCAGUUGUAAGAUCCUUCGCGAAAUUUGUUCGACCUUUAUGUCGUUGGAAUUACUACCAUUUUUUUCUUUUAUUAAUUUAUAUUUCAUUCAUAAAUGAAAUGAUAGCGUAUAAAAAUUCAAUUCGAUGAAAUUAAAGUAGCUUGAACGUUUUUAUUCUCUCCUUUAAUAUUUGUUAUAAUAUAUUUGUUAUGUGGUAAAAUUGCACGAAAAAGUUUCGCGAAGAACUUAUCGUUGCGAUACUAUUAACGCUUACGAUAUAAAAUACUGCAUAUCCUAUACAAACGUAGGACCUUUAUAAUUAGUAGCCGGUUUUAAGAAAUUCUAAACGAGAGAAAGAGCAAAAGAGCAAGGGAAAAGAAAACGGGUUUACUUUAAUAUAAUAACAUUGAUAAAGUAAUUCGGAGAACUAUGACAAGAACAUCGGCAAAUUCUCGUAGGAAAUUGCGCUAGAAAUUUUGAAGGGAGUCAAAAGCGAAAACCAGCUGGCUAGAUGUGAAGAAUGAUAAAUCAGAUAUAUUGUGUUUCAUUUAACGUAAUUUUGAUCUAAUUUCUCCCUUGACUUUCUUCGCAGCAUCAAUUUGUUAUUUGCUAUUUGUUUAUUUGAGUAUCUUUUAAAUUAUUUUAUUAAAAAAUAUGUUCAAUAAAAGAAAAGAAAAUUCUAUUUUCUCUAAACUAAAAUGUGAUGAGCGCAUAACUUAUUUACCAUUUGCUUUGAAAAUCGUCAAGUGUUGCUGAAGAAAAACAAUGCAAGUGGACGAACAACGCGAAGGGAGCCAAGGUGAAGCUUGUUAAUUUUCACACUCUUGCCAUGCCCAUUUGUACAUAGGCAUGCUCAAUCUUAGGAUCGAACACGCAUCGUGAAUCACAUAUAUAUUAUAUAUACACAUAUACAUAUAAAUAGUAUUAACUACGGAAACGAACAAAUUAAUAUCCAACUUUGUACCUAUAUACUUACAAAUUAACUUAAACGAAAACGAAAAAGAGGGUUGGAAGGGAGAUAAAAAAAAAGAAAAGAAAUACUUUCGAACAAAUAUAAUCGAGUCGAAUAAAAAACAAUGGCUGAUACGAGAUAGAAGGGGGCGUCAUAUUGAGAAAAAAAAGAGAAAAUAAAUUAAAUGCAAAGAGAGAUAGAAUGAGUAAAUAAUAAGAAUUACACGGAAUGCAGAAAAUCUGAGAGCCAAGGGGUACCACUUUUGUCAAAUUUAGAGAGCCAAUUUAGGUUUACGAUUAUGAUAUAGGAUAUGCGAGGAAGAACGAGUGCGAGAAUAGAAAGAAAGAAAGAAAGAAAGGAGAAGCAGGGAAACAAGACAAAAAACAGAGGGACAUUGUCAACGAUUUCUUUACAAUGAAAUUCAUUACUUACUUAAAAAAUUCGUAGAGACGAUCCAGCGUAGCAUAGAAGUGUUUCUGUAAUCGCGUCGAACGGUAUCUCGAUCGAUCGCGUGCCUCGAAUUCGUCACAUUUACACUGAAUUUCGGCAAAGUCGUGCACAAACGAACAUGUAAUAAUCGCACUGAAUAAGAUCGUUUCGACGGAACUCAGGAAUACUUAAAUAGACAUUUGUCAAAUGCCUCAAUCACGCGACUUCCGGAUACAUACCUCUGAUUCACGUAGUCUGCCGUGAGUGUCGCUCGCGACGUAAUCGACGCACGCUAUCGAUCGUACGAUCACGCGGACACCGAUUCUCGAAUAUCGAUGAGGCAAACUUCAUACCGUUCGAAUAGCGCGCGUUUUACCGCCCGAAACGGUUUCUAAUUUAUCUGUACGAGAUGAAAUCUGUCCGGAUUUAUUUCGAAAAGGAACACGGAGGAGUACGGGCGAGAGAGCGAGGAAGAAAGAAAGCCAGAGAGCGAGGAAGAGAGAAAGGUAGAGAGCGAGGAAGAGAGAAAGGCGGAGAGCUAGGACGAGAGAAAGGCAGAGAGCAAGGACGAGAGAAAGGCAGAGAGCGUGGGAUAUCACGAGAAAAAAAGGUGCGUCAUUUUCGUUAAAAAAAAGAUGAGAGAGAGAGAAAGAGAGAGA